rnacentral:rRNA from 1 species
GGCAGCAUGAACUUAGCUUGCUAAGUUUGAUGGCGACCGGCGCACGGGUGAGUAACACGUAUCCAACCUUCCGUUUACUCAGGGAUAGCCUUUCGAAAGAAAGAUUAAUACCUGAUAGUAUGGUGAGAUUGCAUGAUAGCACCAUUAAAGAUUUAUUGGUAAACGAUGGGGAUGCGUUCCAUUAGGUAGUAGGCGGGUAACGGCCCACCUAGCCGACGAUGGAUAGGGGUUCUGAGAGGAAGGUCCCCACAUUGGAACUGAGACACGGUCCAAACUCUAC